rnacentral:misc_RNA from 1 species
AAGGAGUCUAACAUCUAUGCGAGUGUUUGGGUGUCAAGCCCGAGCGCGCAAUGAAAGUGAACGGAGGUGGGAACCCUUUGGGUGCACCAUCGACCGAUCCUGAUGUCUUCGGAUGGAUUUGAGUAAGAGCAUAGCUGUUGGGGCCCGAAAGAUGGUGAACUAUGCUUGAAUAGGGUGAAGCCAGAGGAAACUCUGGUGGAGGCUCGCAGCGGUUCUGACGUGCAAAUCGAUCGUCAAAUUUGGGCAUAGGGGCGAAAGACUAAUCGAACCAUCUAGUAGCUGGUUCCUAC